CGCACACACACACACACACCACAAGGGACGGAAAACCACGCCUCCUGCGUACUCAGAUUGGAUCCUACAGUGCUAAGUGGCCCGAGUUCCAGAAUCUGACAGACGCGGACUCAGCCACGUGUUUGGUACCUGUGCUACCUCGGGCAGAUUAUUUAACGUUCCCAAUCAUUGGUUUCCUGGUCUUAGCCGAGAAUAAUAUCAGUUCCUACCUCGUAAGGCUGUCCCGAGGCUUAAGUGCAAUAGCUCUGAUAAAGCUCUGGCGUACUUCAAGAGCUCUACACAGCGACGGGGCUGUUUUAAGUACACGUGUAUCCAACACAUGAUCUCAAGAGGCACAUUCCGUUGUCCGUAGUUUAGCAAGACGUUUUUCUUUUAGCCUAAGCUGGACCCUAAUUUGUUUACCUCCAACGGUAGACUGACUGCCUGUCUCCUGACAAGCAUCUGUGGACUCUCGGGCCCAGUCUGUAAGGUUACUCAAGUCCACGGCCGUACAAAGGCGCUGCACGCACGCGCAAGAAAAGCAGCAAGAGAACGGCAGCCGAGGAAGCUAAGUGUGAGCUGCGAACAACCGUGCGUCUGCGCAUGUACAAGGUGUGUGUAUGGGAGGGGAUGAGGGUAGGAGUUUACGCAUGCGCAAAUGUCGGGACAACAGGGGGGGUUAGAGGUGGUAUUGACAGCUGUGGAGGCAGCCCGCGUUCCCGGCAUGCCCCGGGGCGGCGGGGUUGGCUCUAACGAAUUUGAAUGAAGAGCCUCAGCGCUUUCGGCGCCAUUUUCGAGUGAUGCCUGAUCUCAUCAAUCUAGCGGGAGAGACGGGAUAACCUGUCUGAGAGUAUAGUGCCACUAGCGCUCCGCUGAAAAACCACUAAAAAAAAAAAAAAUCACCAAAAAUAACUUGGAGCAAAAGACAAUCCGCGAAGCUUCGCCAGGGUUGACGCAGUGGGUUUAAUAAUGACAAAAUGAAGACCACAAUAAAACAGCUCCCUACUAGCCCAGGAAUUCUUACCUUGUGGAUAUUACUAUCCCUUCCUCAUGGAAAAUGUUUUAUUCUAAGUGUUGUUUCUCAUUGAGUAUUAUCAAAAAGGAGAAAAAUUAUUGUCCUAAAUUUUUGAGAUAGAUUUGGCAAUAGCUGACCUGGAACUUGUGGUCCUCCUGCCUCAGCCUCCCAAACUGCUGGGAUUACAAGCAUGCACCACUGCACCCAGGUGACCCUAUGGCUUCUUUACCCUUGUUUAAGAGUGCUUCAGAAUCCAAAUCAAGCUUGCUUAGACUGAUGAAUUCACAUUGACUUUUGGGUGCUCUCAUUUCUAAUCAAAGAAAACAAGUAUUCAGAUUGCCUGCAGCCCCUCAAGAGCCAAGAUAUGAUGCUUUGAAGAAGAAGAAGAAAAAAAAAAGCCUGUAAGAAAUAAUUGAAAGGAAACAGGCUUAAAAAAUACAAGUUUACCCCAAACGAUUUAGGAAGUCUGUGGCUCUUACCAAAUCAGGUGUGAAUUUUGAUACCACAACUGCCCAAAAAAAGGUCCUAGUUACAUGUGACUUACGUGCCUGGUCUGCUGCCUUUUACCUGACUCCUAAAUCAUGAGGUAGUGUGAAGGCGCUGCGGGGAGUGCUCCGGCCCCAACAGAUUUUCUGGAUCACAAACACCUGGCUAGCCGGCCAGCGCCCACCCUCACGCGGCUCCUCCCCCACGAUAUCGCUGCCUAGCUGGUUUCCGCUGAGCUACCCCAACUGAAGCUCAAAUUGCCCCCACCCACGCAGGCCCCAGUUAGCCUGGGCAAGUCCCCACCCCCGCUGCAAGCUCAAGGGUCGCCCCUUCCUCCCCGAAGAGGAGCAGGGCGGUGGGUACUUAUCUCUGACCUCCGGCAAGGCCUGCAGCUGCAAGGCCUCGGGUCUUCCAGCUCGGAAGAUCGCGCGGUAAGCGCCCGACACCGCCGCAAAAUGGACUCGCGGCGCUGCACGGGCCCCGCCCUCCUCCGCUGGCACCUCGGACUCCACCCCCGGCGUGUACCUUUGUCCCGCCUCCCGGGUCGGGCCUUCCCGGGGGAGGUGAGGCGGGAGUCCUUCCGGUGUCUCCAACGGCCGCCGCCCUCCUAAAAGGGGGCGGGUCCUCGCUGCUCACCCUUCUCCCUUCCAGGAGCUGCGCGCGCGCAACUGGGAACGCUGGCGACGGAACGCUGUGCUUUCCCCCACGAAACCACCCGGGAAGGAAGUCUACCAGUUAAGCCGACGAGCAAUGAGAUGGUUGGGUUUGGAUUGUUGUACUUUUUUUUUUGUUCGUUGCAUUUUUAGGAACAAAAAAAAAAGCCCAACCCUUCACACCACUUCAUCUGCAUCUCUCAGGACCAGAAGUGAGGCCACCGCGACUAGGAGAACGAAGAUCACUUGUCUGCCCCGCGCCCCAUCCGAGGGUAGGGUGGGACGGGCACAUCGGCGCCGCGCCGAGCUGCCCACCUGCUGUAGCGGGGUCUGCGGCCUAAGCACCACCAAAAGACUGGUUAACUGUCGUCCCUCCUCUCCGUCGUUGCACCUAUUUCCUUGCAAUUUUUACGCAAGACACCAGUUCUACUUAAAUUUUUAGGCGACCCAGUUAAAUUCUCUUGCAGGAAAUAUAUAUAUAUCUCACUACUGCUUUUUUCUUUUUUUUUUUUUUUUUUAAUUACCCGGUGUUAACAGUUGUUCAAUUCCUAAUCUGACUCUUCUGGUGUCUGCCCCCUGUGUGGGGAUUUUGUUUAGCACCAGAUGUAUAAGCACUUGCUGGUGACCAGUCUGAAAAGGGUACAAAGAUGAUGAUGAAAAUGGUUCACCUCCAAAGCUUUAAAAUUUUGAGGGAAGUGAGGCAAGUACAGAACCACAGAUGAAGCUCUAGGACUACAUUCAGUCCAAAUUGGGGAAAGUCUGGGCUUUGAAGGGAAGUAGUAGAUUAUUAAAAAAAAAAAAAAAAAAAAAAAAAAGUAUUCACUAUUUAUCAUACAUAGUACUUGAUUAAUAAUAAUAAUUUAGCCUAAACGCAUAAAGUCCCUUGCCAUUUACCCUGUGCAUCUUACUGACUGCAGCAAUGUAACACUUUAUAGAACAAUUCCUGUAAUUUGUCUUCUAGUCUGAAUAAAAACACUGAAAUGGGAA